UCCCUACGGGGGGCAGCAGUGGGGAAUAUUGCACAAUGGGGGAAACCCUGAUGCAGCGACGCCGCGUGAGUGAAGAAGUAUUUCGGUACGUAAAGCUCUAUCAGCAGGGAAGAAAAAAAGUCCUUUGGACUUUGGACGGUACCUGACCAAGAAGCCCCGGCUAACUACGUGCCAGCAGCCGCGGUAAUACGUAGGGGGCGAGCGUUAUCCGGAUUCACUGGGUGUAAAGGGAGCGUAGACGGCCAAGCAAGCCAGGGGUGAAAGCCCGGGGCCCAACCCCGGGACUGCCCUUGGAACU
rnacentral:rRNA from 1 species